GGAAGCCCGCGCGCUCGACUGAGGCGGGAGAUUGCGAGAGGGGAGCGGCGGAGGAGCUGAGGGGGAGGCGGCAUAGCAGGGGUUCCCCCCCGUUUUUGGGAGUCUCCCAUGGUGCCCUCUCCCCAAAAAGCUCCGAGGGCCCCCUGAAGUGGCUCCUGUUCCCCCAGCCGGUGCCCCCUGAUCCAGGACAGCCCCAGUGAGUCUGGGGGGAUUUUUGGGGGCUUUUUGGGGGGAUUUUGGGAGGGGUUUUGGGGAUUUGGUGGGGGUUUUUGGGGAGAAUUAUUGGGUUUUGGGGGGUGAUUUGGGAGGGUUUUGUGGAUUUGUGGGGUUUGGAUUUUGGGGGAUUUUAUUGUAGUUGUGGAGGGUUUCUUGGGGGGGAUUUAUUGAAAUUUUCGAGAGUGUUUUUAAAUUUUGGGUGGGUUCCACUGGUAUUUUGUGGGAUUUGCGUGUGUUCAGAGGGUUUUUGGGGGAUUUUGGAGGUUUUUAGUGGAAUUUUGGGGGGGCUUUGCAGUUAUCCCCGGAUGUGGGGAAGGGCUGAGAGGCACCAAAAUCUCCUUAAAAUCCCCAAAAGUCCAUAUAAAACCCACGACAUCCCAAUUAACUCUCACAAAGUCCUGAUCCUUCGAUAUUGGCUCUUCCUAUCAGUGUGAAGCAGAAUUCACCAAGCGUUGGAUUAUUCACCCAACUAAUAGGGAACGUGAGCUGGGUUUAGACCGUCAUGAGACAGGUUAGUUUUACCCUACUGAUGAUGUGUUGUUGCAAUAGUAAUCCUGCUCAGUACGAGACGAACCGCAGGUGUGUGCACUUGGUGCGUGCACUUGGCUGAGGAGCCACUGGCAUGAGCAUCUGUGGGCUUAUGACUGAACGCCUCUAAGUCAGAAUCUCGCCUAGAUGUAGCGAUACUGCAGUGCUGCCGGCGCCUCGGUGGGCUUGUGAUAGCUGGCCGCCUGCAUGCUCUGUGAGGAGCACCGCUCGUGGUUGGGACUGGAGGGGCAGACAGAGGCAGUACUGCCUCUCCCCCGCCGCGUACCGCAUGACUGUGGGGCACCGGAUGCUAAAUCAUUCGUAGACGACCUGAUUCUGGGACAGGGUUUUGUACAUAGCAGAGCAGCUCCCUCGCUGUGAUCUAUUUAGAAUCAGCCCUCGACACAAGCUUUUGUUGUCGUGCUAUCUCUCUCACUCUCUCGAAUACAAGCGGCCAGCCUGCCACUCCAGCAUGCGGGCGCAGUCUGCCUUUUUCCUCCUUCUCCUCCUCUUAGGUCUCUCUUGGUGGGCCAGUGACAACAGGGGGCUUUUGCACUCUCCUCCGCAUGGGUCCAGGGCCCAAUUCGCAGAGUCCGGGGGCUGGGCACUGAGUGAAGGGCCCCGUGCCGCCAGUGGCACGCUCUGGGCAAGCGAGAGAGGCCCCCGCGGCCUCGACUCCCCUCCAUGUGGGUCCCAGGCCUGAUACACAGGGCAGGGCCUUGGCCGCACAGGCUGUGGCAGCAGCAAGUCUCCUGGCACCACACAUGGUGGCACACGGUGAGGGGGGAGGGGCCCGUUUGCCAUCGUCUCUAGUGGCAGGGGUAGACCUGGUGUCCCAGGGGCCAUGAUGGGAAGCGACGCGGUGGCUGGGCAGCAGCGGUGAGGCUGCUGUUGUCCACGGCCGGCCUUAGCCUGCGGUCGCCUAGGACUUGGGGUAGACUAGUUGCCCAGGGCCGGCCUUGGCCUUCGACCGCCUAGGACCUGGGGUAGACCUGUUGUCCAUGGCUGGCCUUAGCUUAUGCAGGUCUAGGGCAGACCUGUUGUCCCUGGCCAGGCUUAGCUUAUGCAGGCCCAGGGUAGACCUGCUGUCCCUGGCCCGCCUUGGCUUACGCAGGGUCGGGGUAGACCUGUUGUCUGCAGCCGGCCUUAGUUUACAGAGCCCCGGUGUAGUCCUGUUAUCCGCAGCUGGCUUCAGCCCUGGGGUGCCAACCACCGAAUUGACCAACAGCCCGUGAUAAUUCGUGUGGACCCGUUGCAGGGUCCAGGCCUGCAAGCACAUGUAGGGCGGGCAGCAUGCAUGUCUGGCAGGCCCGCACGAGCACAACGUGGUUGGCCCUGCUCCAGAGGGGCCGCCUGCCUGGUACCACAUCCUCCUUCCCCCCAAAAGCCUGGAUGUGAUGGCUGCCGACUGUCACUCCCACCUGUUCCCACAGUCUUGUUUCCCAGGGAAAAGGGCCUGCAUUACUGUUCAGGGCCUGUGGCCCAGAGUGGCUGGCUGGCUCCAAAAAUUCCUCAUUGCCUCCCAGACCCAAACUGGUGCAAGUGCAAACUCAGGUUUGUUUGACAAUGCUUAGUGACUUCUGCAAUUUGCCAUCAGGCACCCAGGCAGGUGAGGUUUGUUUCCCAGGGAUAAUGGCUGGCAUAGGUGUUCGGGGCCUGGGGUCGGGAGUGGGCAGCUGGAUCUUAGAAUACCGCAUUGUGCAGGAUGCCUCCCAGACCCAAGCUGACACCACUUGCAACUCAGGCUGGUUUGACAGUGCCAAGUUGCUGCUACAACUUAAGAGGAUAUUUUUUGCCUCUUUUCAUGAUGCUCUUCUUGUUUUACAUCCUGCUCUGAUUCUUGUGAAACUUUUUCAUUAUCUUCUCUCUAAAAAGGAGGACCUUCUAUUUAGCAUCCGUCCCUACUACGGUAGGGAUUUUUUUUUUUCCAUUCAGAUUGUUGAGCUCAAAAAUAGAAUUGGAACUAGCAGGAAUUACUGUGUUUUAAGUUUCUGGUUCGUUAAGACAAUAUCAGGUUGAUAACAGCCUACCUUCUGUUGGCUAAAUACUCUCUUUCCCCCAAGGGAGGAUGCAUGCAUUUUAAUGGAACUUUCUGUAACAAACUCCAGUUAUGGAGAAUAUACACAAAUAGCUGGAAAAACUAUUUGACCAUUUGGGGAAGCAACCUUCUUACCUUCUUUUGGAAUGAACAUAGUCUGCUAGCUGAAGUAAUAAGCUUGAGGACAGAAAUCUACCUUCUAGUGAGAAGUUGCUGACAAGGGAAACACCUAAGCUUUGUGACUUUCCCCUUUCUGACUAUUGGUCAAGCAUAGUAACCUAAAAUUAAUGGCGUCAGUCAAAGAAAAAUGCUUAUCUGGUCAGAGGUCUAUGAAAGGUCCAAAAAUAAUCGGAGGUCUUCUUAGAUAAUGGAAAUGGUAGCAGAGCUACCAAUCUAUUUUCUUUGAAACAUAUCCCUAAAACUCAUUAUUUUAUAUUCAUAAAAAAUAUAUAGUCACCAGUACAAUCAGGAAAAGAUGAAACUUACUGAUGUCAGCAAGGGAAGGAUUUUAAAGAACUAUUCCCAUGAAUCAUCGUCUAGACAGAAACUCUAUCAGUAAAAUCAGAGCGCCUUUAGUAAGUACCACUUCUGGGAAAUUCAGACCUCCUGGACAAGGGACCAAGAGGAUUAAGCAGAAGUUGUUUAUUGUUUACAUCAUGCGCUUACACAUUCUAACUCUCUGCACAUGCUACUCAUGCAUUUCUUAUUGAUGCCUUUGUCUUCUCCACGCAUUCUGUGUGCAGCCCUCAGAAGAUGUGUUUGCUUACAGUCCAGGAGCUUUGCCACCCCCAGUUAUCAGGUUCUUGUUGUCAUGGAAUUUGGUUUCUCAGCUUCUCCUUUCUUAUUUUAGCACAGCUUAUGUCUUAGUAACUUUGGUCAAUUCCAGAGGGCCCUGAGAAAAUUCUGACAGCAACAGUUCCAAGCUGGAUGGCUGGUGCACCCUGUAGUCUAAGUGGUUAAGAUACAUUGCUACAAUACCCCCUUCUUGCACCAGUCAGACCCUUGCCACGGUAUUUUCUACCAAGAGGCUCACCAAUUUCAAGAUGCAUGGAAUACCACAAAGCAAUAUUAUAAUGACCAUUAGUAUAAACAAAGCUCCCUUUACGAGAUUUUUCAACCAUCGAUUUCUUUCCCAUCCCACAAAACAUUCAUGCAAACCCCACUCAUUCCCAGUCAAUUUCUUCAUGUUUUCUUGUCAUUGUUUGAGUUCGGCUCAGAGAGGCUGAGAAACACAUUCCUUCAAAUUCCUCACACUCGUGACCAUAUGCUAACAAAAAAAUCUAUAGUAGCUCUAUUUUGCAGUGCUCCAUUUCUAAUACUAUUACAUCAAUGAGCAUCUGAUGUAAAAUAGCUGUUACCUUUAGUUGUUUGACCAUCAGGCAUCCCAACUUAUUAAACGUAGGCAAAGCUUGACAAGAAGCGACACCUAGAGUAAGGAAUGCCGCUAUUAAUCCCGUGGGAUAGCCCAAACCUCCCCACAAUUGUGGAAAUCAAGUCUUAAACUGGAGAUUGUUCAUUCAGUACUACAGGAGGCAAAGAAGUGGCUUCUUUGCUCACAGAGCAUUUUGCCGGUCGUGGUGUGUUCCCAGCUUAUCAAACAUAGGCAAAGCUUGACAAGGAGAGUGGUAAGGAACUGUCCUCUAUCACUUCAAAAGCUGCCCAAAGAAUCCCAGUGUUGUGCAGCUUCGUUCUUAAUGUCUCAGCAGCUGUCUUGCUCUUCGUCUCUCGGAGGAGAAGAAGUGGCUUCUUUGGGCACUGAGCAUUGUGCCUGACGCGGUGUGCUCCGUAGCGCUGCUUCUGCCGAAAGAAGCCCGGGACCAGCACUUACCUUCAAAGAGCUCCGUAUCUCUGUCUUCUGCAUCUCUCGGAGCCUGUGUUGGCAUUCAGGAACACAUAAUCACGAGAAAUGAUUAUAUGCAGGUGCUUUUAUUGAAGAGCUCUGGGUGUUAGGGGUACAAACCCAAAUCUGACUCCGACAUAGGUUCAGGAUGGAUAUGCUUUUAUAUUCUAUUGUUAUAUAACUUUCAUGUUAAUUAUUAAACUUACAUUGUUCUAUAGUAUACAUAGAUUUCAACCAAGCAUAGCCACCUUAGACUAGGAACAUACAGUUUCUCAUUGUUCUUCUUAUGAUUAUACAAUAUUUAUUUUAAUUACUACUACUUACUCAGGUAAAACACAAGGCUUAACAUUUCAGAGUUUAUCUUAGCAUUUUCCAGGGCACCACUAUCACCUGCAUCUUCGCAUAAAGCUUUUACACUAUUUCUCGCAAGGGGAAACUGUGCCAGCACAGCAAACAUCCCCCAGCCUUUUACUAGAACUUGCACGGAGGGCUGCAGGAAGACUAGCAAGUAACACAGGAGUGUUGUACAAGAACUCCUUCCAUACGAAUGCUAAUGUGAAUUUAGGAGGCAGGCAAGUGACCAGGGAUCGUCUUCCCUCAGUUUGAUAGCUGCGCAGAGAAUCUCCAUCUUGAGAGGCUUCGUUCUUCACAUCUCAGCAGCUGCCGUGUUCUCCGUCUCCCCGAGGUGAAGAAGCGGCUUCUUCUCGCACUGAGCAUUGCAGCCGUCUUAUCCCUAAUUAUUCAGCCUAGCCAAAGCCUGAGGAGCAGCCACACCUAACGUAAGCAAUGACGCUAUGAAUCCAGCUAGAUUGCUCAAACCUCUACACGACUGUUGCAAUCAGGUCUUACGCUAGUGAUUGUUCUUUCAGUUCUCCUGGAGACCUGCAUCUUAGCGAAAAGCUUUUCUACUACAUCUUGCAAGGAGAAAUCACCAGCACAGCAAGCGUCUCCCAAUUAUGCCCUUGAACUUUGCACUUGCUGCAUAUUCAAAAACCACUCUUCUUUCUUAGGUUAGCUGCAAGUUGUUUUUAAAUCGCUGCGCUCCCUGUCCUUUCCUCCCCAGUGCAAAUACACACAGGCACAUUACCUUGUAGGUAAUAAAUCCAGAUAACAGAUCCAGGAAGAAUAUGCCCUGACUUUGAGAAACAAUACCAAUUGAAGAGGAAAAAGAUGGUCCCUUCUUUGAGACCCAGUAUCACACAUCUGGGUGCAGGGGGAAGAGAGGUAUCUGUGUGUGUGAAUGGGAAGUGUACUCACCCACAAACCAGAGCCAAUAUUUGGUAACUCACAUAUAGCAAAUGUGGAUGCUUAUAGUUUCCUGCUCUUUAUUAAUCUUUUUUUCAAAGGUUAAUUUGCUUUUAAAGAUUUUCUAGUCAGUUGAAACAUUCUUCUGUGUUUGUGUGAGAAUAGAAAUCUCCAUAAAGUUUACUGUGUAAGGGGAAUACCUUGGACUAGAUGAUGACUAUUUAGAAGAUGAUAUUUUCAUCUGCAUCAAUCAAUUUCCUUGUUUUGGAAAUAUUUUUGUUUUUCAAAGUAGUAACUUUUAAUAAGUAUUUUUAGAAGGUGAAAAAUUGAGAUCCUCAUUUCUAUCACAGAAAUACAAAGAAAAUCUAUUAAAACCAUCCGUUGCAUCAUUUAAAUGUUGUAUUUUUGAAUUUUCAAUAGCUAACUUGAAUUCUCAGGUUAAAAUCACCUUUAAAUGCUCUGUUGUCACACAAUUUUGUUAUUUAUCCAUUUCUAAGCUUCUGAAUUAUAUAUAAGGAAGAGUUAUUUACUGCAACUACUUGACAGUUUGCAAAUUAACAUCAAAGUUGAGGAAGGGAGGGAGGAAGGGAAGGACUCCAGGACUCCAAGAUUCCAGGACUCCAAGAAGGAAGGGAGGGAGGGAGUUGGGAAAUGUCAGAAAUCUUAAAAAUUAUAAAACAUUUGUGUGAAUGAUAUUUAAGUGCUCGGACUGUUACUAGAUAUAGUAAUGCUAAAUGGAACAUGUGACACUAGAACAGUUAAACUCAUUGGAUGGCAGUUUCUCAGAAUCAAUAGUCUGUUAUUUCUAUCUUCAACUACUUACUGCUAUUGCACAGAAUGAAUAGUAGCACUGAAGAAUAGAAUGAUUGGAGUUGGAAGGAACCUUAAAGUUCACCUAAAUUCACCCCCCCAUGCCAUUAGCAGGGACACCUUCCACUAGACCGCCUUAAGCUCAAAGACCCAUUCAAGCUGGCCUUGAACACUUCCAGGAAUGGGUCACCCACAACAUGUUCCAGUGUCUCACAACCCUCCUGGCAAGGAAUUUCUUGCCAAUAUCCAAAGGAAAUAUAUACUCUUUAGGACUUAAAGCCAUCAAAACUUUUCCUAUCGCUCCAUACCCUUGUGUAGCUCAUCUGCCUCCUUCUGGUAGGCUGCCUUCAGGUACUGGAGGGAUGCUCUAACAAUUGGCCCAGAGUCUGCUCUUCUCCAGGUUGAGAAGAUGCCUGGAGGACUCUGGCUUGAUGAUAGCCUUCUUGUGUUACACUGGGGGCUCAGACCUUUCUUUAUGGAAUUGUUGUAGGAUGCUCAGCCACUGCUGAUUGCUCUUCAUGGUGGUAGAGGUAAUAAAUAGUUUGUUGUUUUAAUAAAGACACACUUGAAAUUUUAAAGCAAAAUUAAUUGGAGAAAGCUAAAUUUUAAAGCAAAAUUAAUUGGAGAAAGAUUCCUAAACCUCUGGCCUGUUACCUGAGCACAUCUAUUGAUUGUAAAUUACAUUCCUUGCACAUGUUAUGAUGCAUGAACCAAAGCCAAGUGAUGUAUACUACUUAAGACAGAUGUUCUACCUGCUUACUGGAACAUGUUCUUAUGGUUCUAAAACAAUCCCCCGAACAUUAAGAACAAGAGAUUACUGUAGGAAAGACAUUCUGUGCUGUUUUUGUGAGCUAGCAAAGGCCUCCAGAAGAUAAGGAAGCCCUAUAUCUCUCCUGAAGGAAGACACCAAGGUUGUCACCAUGGAGACAGGAUGAAGGAGAGAAAGUUAGGAGAUAGCUCACAGAGUGACAUUGUUCCUACUGGGAACUUUGUUUCUCUUAUAUGACCAAUGGACAUUGAAUGUGUAUGCUGGAUGGGUGCAAGUGUCUUGAAAAGUAUAAAAGUAACGUUGCAAAAAAUAAAUCUCUCUCUUGCACCUUUUUGAUGGAGUCGUGUACUUUUGUACCAUGUCAUACUCUAUUGCGACAUCUGGUGACCCCCGACAUGAUUGCAAUGGGACUGUAAAAAGAGAGUAAAAAGAAAAAAAAAUUUUUGAAGGGUACCCUAUAAAAAUGAGUGAAGGCAGCAGGGACGCUGUGAAGGUCCGAACCUAAUUCAGACGUCUGAUUUGAGGUGAGCAAUUGGCAAAAUAAUGGGAAAUAAUUUGUCAAACAAGGAAAAUAUUAUUUUGUCCACAUGGAAAACUUUACUGAAAAUAAAAAAUGUUCAAACUUCUGA